GACCGCUUAGCUCAGUGGUAGAGCGUGUGAUUCCAGCUGAUUUUAAGCGCCUCCACAAGGCCAUCCGUUCAACUCGGGUAGUGGUCA